rnacentral:rRNA from 2 species
GUAGGGAAUAUUGGGCAAUGGGUGCAAGCCUGACCCAGCCAUCCCGCGUGCCGGAUGAAGGCCCUCUGGGUCGUAAACGGCUUUUGACGGUGAAGAACCGAAAGGGUGCGCCCUUUUUUGACGGUAGCCGUUGAAUAAGCACCGGCUAACUCCGUGCCAGCAGCCGCGGUAAUACGGAGGGUGCGAGCGUUGUCCGGAUUUAUUGGGUUUAAAGGGUGCGUAGGCUGGAGGGACAGUCAGCGGUGAAAAGCAGUUGCUCAACAAUUGUCUUGCCGCAGAUACUACCUUUCUUGGAUUGGGAGGAGGUUACCGGAACGGAUGGUGUAGCGGUGAAAUGCAUAGAUAUCAUCCAGAACGCCAAUUGCGAAGGCAGGUAACUGUACCUAUAUCGACGCUGAUGCACGAAAGCAUGGGUAGCGAACAGGAUUAGAAACCCCUGUAGUCC